UCAGACGAUGCGUCAUGCAUAUCAAUAAGCGGAGGAAAAGAAACUAACAAGGAUUCCCCUAGUAACGGCGAGUGAAGCGGGAAGAGCUCAAAUUUGAAAUCUUAAAGGGUUUCCCUUUACGAAUUGUAGUUUAAAGAAGUGUUUUCUGUUGAGGUUUUGGUAAAAGUUCUUUGGAAUAGGACAUCAUAGAGGGGUGAGAAUCCCGUAUUUGACCUUUACUUUCAACUUUGUGAUACACUUUCAAAGAGUCGGAUUGUUUGGGAAUGCAGUCCAAAAUGGGUGGUAAAUUUCAUCUAAAGCUAAAUAUUGGCGAGAGACCGAUAGCGAACAAGUACCGUGAGGGAAAGAUGAAAAGAACUUUGAAAAGAGAGUUAAACAGUACGUGAAAUUGUCAAAAGGGAAGCGUUUGACACCAGUGUUGUUUUUCUGAAAAUCAAUUAAAGAACUGUUUAUGCUAAGCUGUUUAGACUUUAUCAGCUAUCUGUUUAGUUUUGAGCUUUUCUUUAAUGCACUUUUCAGUUAACAAGUCAACAUCAAUUUCUUUUGCUGUAAAAAAGCUUGAGGAAGGUGGCUUGAGAUUCGUCUUAAGUGUUUAUAGCCUCUUGCCUAUGCAGUCGGAGAGAUUGAGGUCUGCAGCGUAGAUCCUUCGGGGCUAAAUGCAUUUGUGCUAAGUUAUAGCAUUUUAUAGACAACUUGUUGACUAUGAUUUGUCUUGUAGCUUACUCGCUUAUGUUAUUUUACCUACGCUUAGGAUGUUGACACACCGCGCGUGCUCG
rnacentral:rRNA from 1 species